AGUGAACGCUGGCGGCAGGCCUAACACAUGCAAGUCGAGCGGAAGCACGGUGAGAGCUCGCUCUUACGGGUGGCGACGGGCGGGUGAGUGAUACGUACAUCGGCAUCUACUUUGUCUUGGGUGAUAACGUGGGAACUCUUACGCUAAUCGCGCAUACGACCAACGGGUGGGAUCAUGGGAUCUUCGGACCUUUCGCGAUUCUAUGAGCCGAUGUCGGAUUAGCUAGUUGGCGGGGUAAGGGCCUACCAAGGCGACGAUCCGUAGCUGGUCUGAGAGGAUGAUCAGCCACACUGGAACUGAGACACGGUCCAGACUCCUACGGGAGGCAGCAGUGGGGAAUAUUGGACAAUGGGCGAAAGCCUGAUCCAGCAAUGCCGCGUGAGUGAAGAAGGUCUUCGGGUUGUAAAGCUCUUUUAUUGGGGAAGAAGAGAAGUAGGUUAAUACCUCGCUGUUUUGACGGUACCUAAAGAAUAAGCACCGGCUAACUUCGUG
rnacentral:rRNA from 1 species